rnacentral:misc_RNA from 1 species
CCCGAUACCGUUCCUAGAUAGAGUUAGCUUAAUUCCUCCAAACACGGUAUAUCUUACCAUUUCGAAGUCGCUUCACGAUUCACGCCUUCAGAUUUACAAACCGUCCGUCCAUAGUCUAUACGAGUUGAGUAGAAAGAACUCUCACGAAACACGUUCGAACUAUACUAGUCAUCGACACAGUUGAGUCACGAAUAACUAUACCGUCAAUUCUAGCUCGUUAUCCUACUACUAAACCAUGUUUUUUGUUCGUGUGUUCAAGUACCGAAUAGAAGUCUAUAUGGAAGACUGAGAAUUUUACUAUGAGGAUAAACAUCAUUUUCAGAAUCUUGGAAUUUUCUGUAAUUUCAGUUGGUUUAACCUCUCUUGUGGACAAAGAUCGUAAUCUAAAGCCUCUGACGUACGAGAAGAUGUACUUAAAAGUUGUCGAUCUUGUUGAGACAGGCGAAAAGAAAGUGGAUUGAAUGCAAUCGUCGAAUAGAACUGGGAAACUAAGUAACUGCUACGUCACAAAGGGACGAAAGGAAACAGAUGUCAAAGGGCGAGAGGAUUUUUCGUGAGGUCGUAUAACGUGCGUGUGUAGAAUUAUAACUGCGUAGAUGACGACACCUGGCGGCCUCGUGACGAAAAGCGUCGUUCUCGGAAGCGAGAACGGAAUUCCAUUUAUUUGUAUAAAAAAAUUUCGACUACGAUAUUCAAUGGAAAAAUAUUGGAGUAUGUAUGUAGUAUAGAUCUAUACGUAUACAUAUAACCUAUGUAUUAACAGUAGUAAUUCUUCCAUUGUCGGUAAGAAUCAUUCUCCAUCUCAAUUAAAGUCACAAUGUUAUUUCCGUUUCUAAAGCAUAUCGUCAUGCAUGCCUUUUAUUUUAUAAAUUGUGCAUGUUAAAUUAAUAGAUAUAUUCAAUAUAAUUGAUAAAAAUCAUAUUAUUCGCUAUCCUUAUACCUAAAAGCUGAUGCAAGCAAAAAUAAAUUAACUGUACUAAAAUAAAACUUUUUGUAAAAUAGAAUCUGUAUUUUUUAAACCUGGUUAUAGUUUCUGUUGUUACAUAUUAUGUAUUACGUUCGUUGUUAAAAGAGAAACACGCCCCGAAAGGGUUAAAUUGUACUCACGAGAGGAAGCGUUUGGACCCGAAUUUUCGCGAGAAUAACACACUGCGUAGCUGUAUCGAAUAAUAAUCAGACACAGUACGAAUACGCGGAUACGUUGGUUACAUGUAUACUCACUGUUCACCAUCAACAUGUACAUACAUUAUACAUAUAUACACAUAUACACCGCAAGAGGCGCGCCCGCGGCGUCGAUUAUCGAUUCGGAUGUAAAUAGACGCAAAUGAUAAAUUUAUUGGCGGCAAAGACUAUGAGCCAUGCCGGCUUGCUUUUACUCGGCAUUCCGUUUUCCUAAUUUUCGCAAGAUUACUCUAUCAUUUCCUCGAACGAAGCUAUCAACGAUGAUUAACCAAAGUUUUGUACAAAAUCGUCGUUUAGAUGUACGAUUGAUCAAACACGAUAGAUAAGCGUUAAAAUUCCCUUGAAUGCGAUAAACGAAUAUAUAUUGUUAUCUGUUUCGUGCAACUGUUUCUUUAUUGUGUGCCUUGAAUCUUUUUAUAAAGUAAUCGAUAUCACGUUGAAUCGCCUCGAAUGUAUUACUAACUAAACU